AGAGGGUGCAAACGUUGUUCGGAAUUACUGGGCGUAAAGCGCGUGUAGGCUGCUCAGAAAGUCGGAUGUGAAAGCCCUGGGCUUAACCUGGGAAGUGCAUUCGAAACUUCUGAGCUGGAGUUCUGGAGAGGAAGGCGGAAUUCUCGGUGUAGAGGUGAAAUUCGUAGAUAUCGAGAGGAACACCGGUGGCGAAGGCGGCCUUCUGGACAGUGACUGACGCUGAGACGCGAAAGCGUGGGGAGCAAACAGGAUUAGAUACCCUGGUAGUCCACGCCGUAAACGAUGGGUGCUAGGUGUCGCGGGCUUUGACCCCUGCGGUGCCGUAGCUAACGCAUUAAGCACCCCGCCCGGGGAGUACGGCCGCAAGGCUA
rnacentral:rRNA from 1 species